rnacentral:tmRNA from 1 species
GGGGGUGACAGGUUUCGACAUCGUACGUUGAGGCAGGAGAAGCGAGCCGAGGAAGCCGACGUCGUCUCGAAAAUCGUCGUCGGAAACGUAUAAGCGCCAACGCUAAGCGCGCUGACUACGCUCUCGUCGCCUGAGACGAGUAGCUAGUCUGUCGGUCCAGGAGAGCCCAUGGCCUGGUCACCGGCAUCAGCUAAUGGGCUGGCCGAGAUGGCCCCGUCGCGGGGCUGCCAAGGCGAGAUCAAUCGCGACUGGGCCCGUCACACCGUCUUGCUCAUGUGAUCGGUGGGGCCGAGUAGAGACCUAGUGAGCUGCGCUCGGAGAAGCCCUGGCGAUGCGGCGAUGGACCCGGGUUCGAUUCCCGGCACCUCCACC